rnacentral:rRNA from 1 species
AACAGGAUUAGAUACCCUGGUAGUCCACGCUGUAAACGGUGGGUACUAGGUGUGGGGUCCAUCCCACGGGUUCCGUGCCGUAGCUAACGCUUUAAGUACCCCGCCUGGGGAGUACGGCCGCAAGGCUAAAACUCAAAGGAAUUGACGGGGCCCCGCACAAGCGGCGGAGCAUGCGGAUUAAUUCGAUACAACGCGUAGAACCUUACCUGGGUUUGACAUGGAUCGGGAGUGCUCAGAGAUGGGUGUGCCUCUUUUGGGGUCGGUUCACAGGUGGUGCAUGGCUGUCGCCAGCUCGUGUCGUGAGAUGUUGGGUUAAGUCCCGCAACGAGCGCAACCCUUGUUCACUGUUGCCAGCACGUUAUGGUGGGGACUCAGUGGAGACCGCCGGGGUCAACUCGGAGGAAGGUGGGGAUGACGUCAAGUCAUCAUGCCCCUUAUGUCCAGGGCUUCACGCAUGCUACAAUGGCUGGUACAGAGAGUGGCGAGCCUGUGAGGGUGAGCGAAUCUCGGAAAGCCGGUCUCAGUUCGGAUUGGGGUCUGCAACUCGACCUCAUGAAGUCGGAGUCGCUAGUAAUCGCAGAUCAGCAACGCUGCGGUGAAUACGUUCCCGGGGCUUGUACACACCGCCCGUCAAGUCAUGAAAGUUGGUAACACCCGAAGCCGGUGGCCUAACUGUUGUGGGGGAGCCGUCGAAGGUGGGACUGGUGAUUAGGACUAAGUCGUAACAAGGUAACCGA